rnacentral:rRNA from 1 species
UGGGGAAUAUUGCACAAUGGGCGCAAGCCUGAUGCAGCCAUGCCGCGUGUGUGAAGAAGGCCUUCGGGUUGUAAAGUACUUUCAGCGGGGAGGAAGGGAGUAAAGUUAAUACCUUUGCUCAUUGACGUUACCCGCAGAAGAAGCACCGGCUAACUCCGUGCCAGCAGCCGCGGUAAUACGGAGGGUGCAAGCGUUAAUCGGAAUUACUGGGCGUAAAGCGCACGCAGGCGGUUUGUUAAGUCAGAUGUGAAAUCCCCGGGCUCAACCUGGGAACUGCAUCUGAUACUGGCAAGCUUGAGUCUCGUAGAGGGGGGUAGAAUUCCAGGUGUAGCGGUGAAAUGCGUAGAGAUCUGGAGGAAUACCGGUGGCGAAGGCGGCCACCUGGACGAAGACUGACGCUCAGGUGCGAAAGCGUGGGGAGCAAACAGG